rnacentral:rRNA from 1 species
CCUACGGGAGGCAGCAGUGAGGAAUAUUGGUCAAUGGACGAGAGUCUGAACCAGCCAAGUAGCGUGAAGGAUGACUGCCCUAUGGGUUGUAAACUUCUUUUAUAUGGGAAUAAAAUGUUCCACGUGUGGGAUUUUGUAUGUACCAUAUGAAUAAGGAUCGGCUAACUCCGUGCCAGCAGCCGCGGUAAUACGGAGGAUCCGAGCGUUAUCCGGAUUUAUUGGGUUUAAAGGGAGCGUAGGUGGAUUGUUAAGUCAGUUGUGAAAGUUUGCGGCUCAACCGUUAAAUUGCAGUUGAAACUGGGAGUCUUGAGUACAGUAGAGGUGGGCGGAAUUCGUGGUGUAGCGGUGAAAUGCUUAGAUAUCACGAAGAACUCCGAUUGCGAAGGCAGCUCACUGGACUGCAACUGACACUGAGGCUCGAAAGUGUGGGUAUCAAACAGGAUUAGAUACCCUUGUAGUC